UCCCUUUCGUUGGUGGUUUGAUAUAAAUUCAUCUUUCAUUUCUGAGAACCUUUCUCUCUUGCUCAGCCUACAGCAUGAUCUUGUAGGGGAGUUUGUCUUGCAUAACACAUGAACCAAGAUUUUCUUGAAGAUUUCAACAAAAGAUCAAGAAACUAGUGGAAUAGUUUUUUCAACUUUGGUGUAUCCCCAAACUCAGCCUUCCACUGCUUCUGAGCCAGCUAUGCUGUCUGCUUUGUGCUUAGGACUUGUGAUCUUGUUGAUAAGGCGAGGCACCAGUGGAGACUCGGUGACCCAGACAGAACGUGUUGUUACCCUCCCCGAGAAGACAUCGCUGACUCUGAAGUGUACUUACCAGUCCAGCUAUUCAGGUUUUCUUUUCUGGUAUGUCCAGUACCAAAACAGAGAGCUUGAGCUGCUCCUGAAAAGCUCAUUAGGAAACCAGAAGGUGACCAGCAGAGGUUUUGAAGCCACUCAUAUCUCGAGUGACAGCUCUUUCCACCAGCAGAAAUCCUCCAUGCAAACAUCAGACUCAGCUGUGUACUACUGUGCUCUGAGUGACACAGUGAGAGAGGCCGCAGGGGGAGCUGAACACAAACCCAAGGGCACAGAUGGGUUCAGGCUGUGGGCAGCUCUCCAGAGUUCUGUGCUAGAGGCAUCGUCAAAGUACUUUCAGCUCUGAAGCUCAGAGCUAAGAACCUUGGAAUUCUUGGAUUGCCCUACAGAGAGGAA